rnacentral:rRNA from 1 species
CACCGCGGUUAUACGAGGGGCCCAAACCAAUAUUUAACGGCGUAAAGUGUGAUUAGAGGAUACAAUAACUAAAGAAAAACGUCCCCCAAGCUGUUAUACGCUAACGGAAAGACUGAAGACCCACAACGAAAGUGACUUUAUGACCCUUGAACUCACGACCAUUAAGAAA